rnacentral:rRNA from 1 species
GACGAACGCUGGCGGCGUGCUUAACACAUGCAAGUCGAACGGAAAGGCCCUGCUUGCAGGGUACUCGAGUGGCGAACGGGUGAGUAACACGUGGGUGAUCUGCCCUGCACUUCGGGAUAAGCUUGGGAAACUGGGUCUAAUACCGGAUAGGAGCCAUCUUUAGUGUGGUGGUUGGAAAGUUUUUUCGGUGUAGGAUGAGCUCGCGGCCUAUCAGCUUGUUGGUGGGGUAAUGGCCUACCAAGGCGGCGACGGGUAGCCGGCCUGAGAGGGUGUACGGCCACAUUGGGACGGGGAUACGGCCCAGACUCCUACGGGAGGCAGCAGUGGGGAAUAUUGCACAAUGGGCGCAAGCCUGAUGCAGCGACGCCGCGUGGGGGAUGAAGGCCUUCGGGUUGUAAACUCCUUUCGCUAGGGACGAAGCUUUUUUGUGACGGUACCUAGAUAAGAAGCACCGGCUAACUACGUG